rnacentral:rRNA from 1 species
AGUGAACGCUGGCGGUAGGCCUAACACAUGCAAGUCGAACGGCAGCACAGUAAGAGCUUGCUCUUAUGGGUGGCGAGUGGCGGACGGGUGAGGAAUACAUCGGAAUCUACCUUUUCGUGGGGGAUAACGUAGGGAAACUUACGCUAAUACCGCAUACGACCUUUGGGUGAAAGCAGGGGACCUUCGGGCCUUGCGCGGAUAGAUGAGCCGAUGUCGGAUUAGCUAGUUGGCGGGGUAAAGGCCCACCAAGGCGACGAUCCGUAGCUGGUCUGAGAGGAUGAUCAGCCACACUGGAACUGAGACACGGUCCAGACUCCUACGGGAGGCAGCAGUGGGGAAUAUUGGACAAUGGGCGCAAGCCUGAUCCAGCCAUACCGCGUGGGUGAAGAAGGCCUUCGGGUUGUAAAGCCCUUUUGUUGGGAAAGAAAAGCAGUCGGCUAAUACCCGGUUGUUCUGACGGUACCCAAAGAAUAAGCACCGGCUAACUUCGUGCCAGCAGCCGCGGUAAUACGAAGGGUGCAAGCGUUACUCGGAAUUACUGGGCGUAAAGCGUGCGUAGGUGGUUGUUUAAGUCUGUUGUGAAAGCCCUGGGCUCAACCUGGGAAUUGCAGUGGAUACUGGGCGACUAGAGUGUGGUAGAGGGUAGUGGAAUUCCCGGUGUAGCAGUGAAAUGCGUAGAGAUCGGGAGGAACAUCCAUGGCGAAGGCAGCUACCUGGACCAACACUGACACUGAGGCACGAAAGCGU